UGAACUAAUAUACAAAGAAAAACAGUUUAACAGUGUGAUUUAUAAUGUAGAUGAUGCUAGAAUAGUGAAUGAAGAUAGUAGUAAAACAAAAGAAACUAUACUAAGUGAAUUGUAUAGAAUAAAAAAUAAUUUAUUUGAUUAUUCGUCUUUAUCUAAUUAUAUACAUUUUUAUGAAAUAUAUACUAAUUUAAAAUAUAUAGUAAAAUAUGAGAGAUCAAGAAAAGGCACAAAUUUAUUAUUUUUUUGUACAACUAAAAAACGAUAUUAUUUUUAUUUAAUUUAUUUUUUUUUCCUGUUAUUAAAUAUAUGUUUAUUAUUCCGUAUACAAACAUUAAUUAAUUUCCCCUUUAAUUAUAAAUAUUAUUAUUAUUAUGAAAUAAACUUUCACGUAUUCUUUACACUUUUUGUACUAACUUAUAGCAUACUCAACAUUUGUUUAUUUUUUUUCACCUUUAAAGCUUUAUUACAUCACAUUAAUAUUAUGUGUUUACUUAUUAUACAAACGUUAUAUAAUUUAUAUAUAAAAGGAAAAAACAAAGAAAUAUAUAAAAAUACAGAACUGUUAAUAGAAGGGUGCAUAAAUAAAUACCCAUAUUUAGAUGAAAAUUUUAAAAGUAUUAUUUUAUUACAUGCAGAUAGUAUUUUUAAUAAAUUUACAAAUAUAUUUAAAUACAUUAAUAAAGAAAAUUAUAAAAAUAUUAAUAUAUAUGAGUAUCAAAAAUGUGAAAAAUGUAGUUCUAUACCUUAUCAAUAUUAUGAACAUGAUAAUGUAGAUUUAUUGGUAAACCUCGAAGAAGAGCAUCACCAACUGGAUGGUUACUUAAAUCAGCAGAAUGCCUCUUUGAAUCAACACCGAUGUGUUUUAACUCAAAAAAACUAUUUUAAUUCAAAUAAUUUAGCUAAUGAUUUAAAACAUGAACAAAGAAAUGAUCAUAAUAAUGUUAGUAACUGCGUCUGUAACAGAGGCAGCUGUAACACUUGCUGUUGCAACAAUGGAAACAACAAUGGAAACAAAAAUGGAAACAAAAAUGAAAACAAUUUUUCGAAUAAAAAAUAUAAAAAUGUUGUGAAUACAAAACAAGAAGAUGUAUAUAAAAAAAACAAGUAUGAAACUAAUAACAAUAAAGACAAAAAGUAUUGUUCUUGCUAUAACUCUACAAAAAAAAAUAUAUAUAAUAUAUAUGGAAAUUCAAUUUAUUCAAACAUUUAUGACAUAAAUAUUUAUAUGAAAUAUAAACAGAAUUAUAUUCACACAUUAAUGAUGAACAAAUGUAAAGAAAAAAUAAAUUAUAUCAAAUUUUUUUUUUAUUUUGUUCCUUAUAUAAUUAACGUAUUUAUUAAUUUAUCAGUCAAUUUUUAUGUUUUAUGCUCAGUAUAUUAUUAUAAUAAUGUAAUACCCCUUGCACCACCAUACGAUUUAGCUAAUAUAAAUAUUUCAAAUAUAUUAAAUUAUAAAGGCACUUAUUAUAUUUUUUUUAUAUUUGUUCUUAAUUUAUUAUUUUUAAUAUAUUCCUUAUUCCUUUAUAAGUUAAAUACUAUUUAUUUUUUUCUUAGACAAAUAU
rnacentral:lncRNA from 1 species